AUAUCGUGCGUCCAACGGGACUACACAACUCUGCUCUCUCUCUCUCUCUCUCUCGCGUCUAAGCCCUAGACUUCUCUCUCUGCUCUCUCUCUGCCGUCGAAGCCCGCCUUCUCUGUCUGCUCUCUCUCUCUCUCGUCUAAGCCCUAGCUUUCUCUCUCUGCUCUCUCUCUGUCGCGUCGAAGCCCUAGCUUUCUCUCUCUGCUCUCUCUCUUUAGAUGAAAAAGAUGCGGACAAGAUGAUGUUAUAGAUUCGAUAUAGUCUCCCUAUUCGAGUUAUCUCUCUGGUUCGCCUCUUUGUUCGAGUUCUCUCUCUGGUUUGGACACGAGAAACAACCAUUUGGAGCCACAGUUUCUUCAAAUUUUAGACGGCUAUACACAUCAAUUUGGAGCAAAAAAUCAAGGGUUUCAAAAUUGCAAGGGAAAUUGCAGAUUUGGAAGAACUUAGGAACGUAUCUUUGUUGUUUGAUAAUUAUUAUCAGCAAGACCUUUCAAACUAUUCUUCAAAUGUCGCGCAACGUUGGGACAUUGGUACUGCUAUUGCACGCUCUAGCUUUCGUGUUAUGGCUAGCAUGAAUCUAUCCACAGAAUUUCAAAUCUAUGGCAAACCCUGGGAGAUCUACAACAACCACAGUCAGCUCUAAUAUGAUCACCCAUCAACUGCUGAGCAGUUGAAAUGAUCAUGGGGAAGAUAUAUGUAUGUUUCUCUAUUAUUUAUGUUUGUUAAUUAAUUUGUGCCUAAGUUUUAUUUUUCUUCUUCUUUUUGGAUACAAUAUUUUUCUUACUACUAUGGUUUCUGCUAUUAGUACUACUUUCAUUUUGCUUUAAAAGAAAAUUCAACAAUGAGACUUCUAAAAAUAUCUUUUAAUUUUUAGGAGUCUGGAAAAUAAAUUAAUUUUUGUUAGUACACUUACCUAAACAUUAGAAAAACGAAUUUGAUGGUAGCAGUUGAGACUUGGCAUAAUAACCAGGAUGAUGAAUAUUACUACAGAUAGCCAAGCAUGAUUUAUCCAGGACAAUGUAAUCAAAAUAACAUAUUUUGAGAACAAAAGAAAUUAUGAGGACCUUUAUUCUCAGUAUAUUUAAACCUAGUGUUACUGGUAGUACUAAUGUGUAAAGAGCACAUCAAAAGGAUAUGAGGUAAUAGCCAUGACUACAUAUAACCAUAUGAUCACUCUCUCUAUAUAUCUUUAACAUGGAUUUUAGGUUGAUUUGUAAAUCAACCUAAUUUACACGGCAUCUAGGUGAAUAUUUAGAUCAUAGAUUGUUUCUAAAACAUUUAUAUCUCAUUGUAUAAGUAACAAGAGUUCUAGAAACAACUUUUCUGAGAUAAAAUUAUGAGACCGCAUUGGAUGAAAAUAUAUAAUAGUAUUAGGGUUCACUAUAAAGGAGAAAUGGGAAUGGUAUAUUACUGAGUGUUCUUCCUUUACAACCUUAUAUACUUGUUGAAUGUUAUGGAUAUGAAUCUUUAAAAAAUUCAUUUGAUAAAAGAAGAAAUGAAGUUAAAUGAGGUUGAUUUGAGUGAAUGCAUGUCACAUUCAAUUUUGCAUUAUUGUGAGUAUGAUCUCAAUUAAUCGAAGAUGUUGGGAGGAAAAUGUCACUAGGUUACAAAUGACACUCCCUAUUUAUAGAUAUCGGACAAGGAUCCCCUCCAAGAAAGAAGAGGUCCUUAUUGGUGGGUGUGCAGAACCUCUCAUUUCUUGAAGAGGAUCCUUAUCCAUAGACAUCCUCCCUACCUUCUCAAAUCCAUCCGGUACUUCAUAACUCCACAUCAAUCUGGAAUAUUCUAUAACUUCAGUCAUGUCAUUCCGCCGGUCUAAGACAUGGUAGAUUCUCCAUGCAACUUGACUAAGCGUGACACCAUGCUUACAAAAAUAUGAAUAAAAAAAUGCAACCCAAUGAGUGCUCAGGCACAUGACAAUGGCCAGGAUUUAUCAGGAAAAAGAAUAUGGGGAUUUAUGAGUUAAUAUCUUAAGCAAAGAGUUUAAAGCUUAAUAUAUAUUUAUGAGAAUCAACUAGGAGUUAAUUCUUUGGGCUCACUAUAAAAUUUUGGUAAAAAAAAUAAAAUAAAGGAAAAAUAAAAUUUGGGGAUUCUGCUAUUGUUUGGGGUAUAAUAAUAUAAGGAAAUAAAUCUUUUAAAAUAUGAUAAUAUAAGAAAAUAUUUUUUUUUUGGGAUUCUGAUAUUGUUUGGGAUCUAGUAAUUAUAAGGAAAUAACAUUUUUAAGAAAGUAACAAUAUAUAAAGAAUAUAUAUAUAUAUAUAUAUAUAUUUUUGGAUUAUUGGUUUAGGGGACUAAGCCUUGAUAAUAUCUGUUAAGUCCCCAAUCAAGAGUGAAUGUUAUAAUGAUAACUCUGAUAUAGAUUGAGAACAAUUAUUUAAUAAUCUCGAUCAUUUUAUAAGCGGAUGUUGAGAGAGAGAAAAAUCUAAAAUGUAUCUUAGUCCUUUGCCAUACUAAUUGAUAUUAAAAGUUUUAAUUAGCACAGAUGUCUAAUGUUAUUUAUCUAAAAUGUAUCUUAGUCCUUUGCAAUGCUAAUUGAUAUUAAAAGUUUUAAUUAGCACAGAUGUCUAAUGUUAUUUAUCUAAAAUGUAUCUUAGUCCUUUGCCAUGCUAAUUGAUAUUAAAAGUUUUAAUUAGCACAGUAGUCUAAUGUUAUUUCCCUGAAAUUUUCAGAUCUCAUUUUUCCAAAGUGCAUAAGAAUAUGCAAGUUUCAGAAAGAACUAAAUUUAUAAAUUAAGGGACUGUUAAGGUUCUCUUACCAGAAGCUAGUUAUUCUGUUAUAUAACUUCAUAUAUAUUGCUUCUAUAUGCUUGUUCUAUGGUUAUCUUUUUUCAUUUGCAUAAGAAUAAGUUCCUGCCUCUCAUAAAUUAAAUAGCUGAUGAUUCUUGUCUUCAAUAGUGAUCAUCUAAUAGCUUGUCAUCUUUGACGAAAGAGUUGUGCAGCAGCUAGCUAGCUAACUUCAAAUCCGGAUGUGAAAGAUAUUGGGUACAUAUAGCGGAUAUGCAACACUACCCAACAACUUAGGCUUUUGAUUCAGAAUCUUUUGCAGUUGGACAUCGAAGAAAACCCUAACCCCUAAUGGUAACAUGGCUCAAAGAAGAAACCCUAGGUCUGGAAUCCUCCUUUGGAGAUGCGAAGGUGUGCUAGGCGAUUUACGGAUGGCUGUUGCUGCUAGGGUUGAGAGGAAUAGAGCUUUCUCCCUCCAAAAAAACUCGAAGAUAACAGCACUAGUAACACUUGUUUGGGAGAGAGAUGGAAUUUGCCUGACAACAUUUUCAGAUAAUUGUAGUGGUUACUAGACAAAAUAAUUAAGCAAAUGGUGAUGGAUAAAGAAUGGAUGCACAUGACUUACAGAGUUGAUCCAAAGUAUUUAGAAGGAGCACGGAGGUUUGCUGAUCAGGCGCAAGCGAAUGCAGGCCAUCCAGAAAAGAUUUUAUGCCCUUGUAAUUGUUGUCUAAAUGCAAAGCACCAACACUUCGACAUGGUGUUUAGGCAUUUAUUGGAAAAUGGAAUGGAUCAAUCAUACACUAUCUGGUACUUUCACGGGGAAAAUUUGAGUGAAUCUCUCCGACAUGGAAGUGAUGUAAAUGACGUUGAAAUGCCAGAGACGUAUCAGAAUUUCUAUGAUUCCAGUCUACGACAAAGCUAUUUUUUUGGAUUUUAUACCGUGGAUUUUGCAGCUACUUCCUUGGAUUUUGUACAGUGAGGUGGUUUUCUGAUAAGUGCAGACUGAAACUCAAGUGCUAGAAGGUUUAUCAAUUUUUCAACAGAAGUGUUAAGAGAUUGAUGAUUUUCUUGACAAAUGGAUUUACUUCCUGUUUUGGAACAUUGAUAAAUGUUGAAUUGUUUUUUCACAUUAAUAAAUGAUGAAUUGUAAAAAUGUUUUAACUCUUUUGAUAUAUUUAGUGGGAUAUGUUUUUUGAAUUGAA